rnacentral:lncRNA from 1 species
AAUAACCAUUCUACAAAACACAGUCAUGUAUCCAACAAAGACUUGGCCAGCAAAUUCAAACCAUGUAAAAUUUAUAGUAAAAGACAUAAUCAGCAAAGUGAAGGGAGAACCUCUAUUGUUGAACAAUAUUCUCCAAAACGUGUAAAAGGGCAGCAUAAACUUCUAAAUGAUCAAACACAUGGUGAGGGCUCAAAGUCGACAGUCAAAGCCUCUACGACGACCCCAAAAUGACCUCGACUUAAGUGGAAGAUUAUGAAUUUUAAACUCUUACCCGACUGAACACUACCUUGAAAAUGCGAUCUUUGGACAAAUUUUUCAACUUGUUUCAACGGAGUUUUGGACAAGAUUUUUUCUGAGCUUUGGAGGUUAUUUGGGUGUGGUUGUUGGCUGGAAUCCACUACUUUAAGUUGUAAUUUUGGGGGGAGGGGGCUGUUGUGGACUGAUUUCAGUAAGUUUUUAGCUGAUUUUUGCUAGAUAAUUGAGGCUAUUUUUCAGCUUAUUGUCCCUGAUUUGGGACUGUGUUUGAGCUGAUUUUUGUGGUGGUUAAAAGGUGAUUUUGGAGUUGGGUUUGGUGCUAUUUUUCCGCAACUAUUGGAGUUAUUUUUGGCUGGUUUUAGUCCAUUUUCUCGCUGGUUUCAUGGCUGGAUUUUGAGGCAUUUAUGGGCCAUUCAUGACUUGUUUCUCUCUGAACCUAACGGGUGUUGUUGGAACUUGGUGAGAAAUUAAGAGAGAUGUUAAGCUCUUUUAGGGAGGCAACAGAUUUUUGCAAAGGAAUUUAGGGAACGUGAGUCUCUGUUCGUUCCUUGUUCAGCCAAAAAUCAUAAAAAAUGGCUCCUUUUCUUUUUAGAAGAAAACCAGAUCGGGGAGGAGGAGGUCUUUUGUUAUUAACACCAUAUCC